rnacentral:rRNA from 1 species
GUGGGGAAUAUUGGACAAUGGGCGAAAGCCUGAUCCAGCCAUGCCGCGUGUGUGAAGAAGGUCUUCGGAUUGUAAAGCACUUUAAGUUGGGAGGAAGGGCAGUAAGUUAAUACCUUGCUGUUUUGACGUUACCGACAGAAUAAGCACCGGCUAACUUCGUGCCAGCAGCCGCGGUAAUACGAAGGGUGCAAGCGUUAAUCGGAAGUACUGGGCGUAAAGCGCGCGUAGGUGGUUUUGUAAGUUGGAGGUGAAAUCCCCGGGCUCAACCUGGGAACUGCCUCCAAAACUGCAUGACUAGAGUACGGUAGAGGGUAGUGGAAUUUCCUGUGUAGCGGUGAAAUGCGUAGAUAUAGGAAGGAACACCAGUGGCGAAGGCGACUACCUGGACUGAUACUGACACUGAGGUGCGAAAGCGUGGGGAGCAAACAGGAUUAGAAACCCUGGUAGUCC